UACGAGCGGCCCAAACGUUAUUCGGAUUUACUGGGCUUAAAGAGUUCGUAGGCGGUCCGUCAAGUGAGGUGUGAAAGCCCUCGGCUCAACCGAGGAAUUGCGCUUCAAACUGUCGGGCUCGAGGGAGAUAGAGGUGAGCGGAACUGAUGGUGGAGCGGUGAAAUGCGUUGAUAUCAUCAGGAACACCAGAGGCGAAGGCGGCUCACUGGGUCUCUUCUGACGCUGAGGAACGAAAGCUAGGGGAGCAAACGGG
rnacentral:rRNA from 1 species